AUCGGGAGAGACAGCCCCUGGCUUCUCUUCUCCAGGCCUUGAAGUAAAGACUGGGCGUGCUCCUUUUCACCAGUGCUGACAGCCCAGAAGAUGAAGCUGAGGAGCAGGUGAAGUUGACUGAAUGCCAUACUUCCUGCCUCUUCUCAAGACCCCAUGGAGGCUUUCCAGAGGAUGAGAGGGAAUGAAGUCCCAAGUGGAAGCCAGCAGCGGCUAUAUGGAACUGCCCAGCCUGUCUGAGGAAGAUCCUGGCCCAAGUCCAGAUGUAGGACACUCAGCUACCUCUUCAGUACCAUGUCUGCCUGCAUGCUGCCAUGCUCCCCACCGUGAUGAUAAUGGAUUGAAUUUCUGAAACUAGCACACAUUUAGGAGUUCCAGGCCUCAGUUUCCUCAGCUCACAAGGCCAAAGGCACAGAUGAGCCAUCACCAGUGCAUCAAGAUCAGAGUGAGAAGCCUGAACCAUAAGAGCCCAGUGUGAACGGCUCAAAGAAGACUUCUGAGAGGAAUUUGAAGGACUCUAAUGCACCCUAGCGUUUCCAGGAAUAUAGUCACCCUUCAACCUAGGAAGACUUUUCUGUGUUCAGAACAUCUUUGAGAUUGGUUUGACAUUCCUGGCCCCCAGCCUGUGUGUAUAGAAACCACUGCCACAGUGAGCCUACAUACGCACCCAUCUGGUCCAUCCUCUAGAGCUGCCACCCCAGUGUGAAGAUGGUGACCUGUGUGUUUGUACAGGACAAGCUCCCCAAGAAGAUAUGACUUGCCAAGGUCACCUAGCCAGCAGGUAGUGGAGCCAGGACCCACAGCCAGGCUGUCUGACUCCCAGGUGGGCUCUUAACCCUACACUCUCGACCUUUCAAAGCCAAGAUGGUAUCUGUUCAGCCCUCCCUUGAGGAGUCUUAAUGUGUAGGUCAGAGCUGGAAAGGACUGGAUGAAUGACCUAAUCCUUGAUUCUCAGAACUUCAUCAGACCAGCCCUCCCCCACCACACAGCUACGUACCACCAGCCACUGGUCCAGAGAGGAGACUUGGACGCCUACUUUUUCUAAGGAGCCAUGUUUUGGCUGGCUUGUUUAUCAUUGUAGGUAGGGUCAGGCUAAAUAAUGGUGAUUUCAAUGCCAUUCCUGAGAGCCAAUGCUAUUGCUAUGGCUUUGAAACACAAACAGAAGAAGAAUCUAUUAGUCACCAAGGAGUGCAAUAAGCCUGUUGAGUAAUCAGCCUGCCGGCCUUGGUACCUAUGAACCACAAGGAUGAUAAAUGAAAUACCACAGACUUUGAGACUCUUGCAGGUGGGUGUGGGGCUGUGGGGAGGUCACAGGCUUCGGGAAACUGUUUUCCAAGGUGCUUUCCCAUACACCAAGGACUCUCCUCUAUUUCUUGUCUCAGAGACAGGGAAACUGAGGCCAGAGAGGAGAAAUGGUUUAUCCGAGGUCAGCCAGGAGGUUUGGGGAUAGGAUGGAGUUCAGGUUGCCCAUUGCUGUUUGAGGAUAGUAGCACUUACAAGCUCAUGUGCCUAGGUCCCAUUCGGCAUCUCUAUCCUUCUCUCUCAUUUUCCUCCUCCCUCUGACAUUGCCCCAGUCAGUCUGAGCCCCAUCCCUCCUAUUUCAGAUAAGGCUGCCAGAGUUUCUAGAGAGGCUUAGAGACAGGGUGUGGCUUCUGGAAUAUCCAGGACUGGGGACCUAGAAUUGUGUCCUUAACCCAGGCUAUUUGUUUGCUGCUGUGUGGGUGGAUCCAGACAUCACCUGAGAUUUGCCAAAAAGGUAGAGGCCCCAAAGAUUUCUCUAAAACCCAAUCAGAAAGGGCUUCCUCAGCAGAACUUUGACUCCUGAGCACUCAAAAUCCUAUAGUUGGUGUGAACCUGUUCUCUCUAGAGGGGUAUGGCUUCUCUCCUCAGCUUUCCUGUACUAUAAAAUGGGCACAGUCAUCCAAGUUAACACUUCUGUGCUUAAGUUGCCUGGGUGCUGAACUGAGUGGCUCUGCGUAUAUGUUCUCCAUUGACUCUCACUACAAGCUUAAGGCUAGGCUUCACAGUUCCACAUUUAGUGCUAAAGCAACUGAGGCUCAGAAAGUCAGAGUAGCCGGUCCAAGACUCUCACAACAGACCCACCCAGCGUCCACACCUAGAAGGUGCUGGGAAACAUUCUGUAGGCACUUUCGGCACUUGCCCCAGGACAACAGUCUUAAAUCCAGCUGUGAUGGUUGAUGUCAGUUGUCAAGUUGAUAGGGCAUAGAACCAGCUAGAACAGUGGUUCCCAACCUUCCUACCACUAUGACCCUUUAAUACGGCUCCUCAGGAUGUGGUGACCCCUUCUACCCUCAACCAUAAAAUUAUUUUUGUUGCUACUUUCUAACUCUAAUUAUGCUACUGUUAAGAAUUAUAAUGUAAUAUCUAUGCUUUCUGAUGGCCUUAGGUGACCCUGUGAAAGGAUCCUUUGACACCCCCUCAAAGGGUCACAACCCACAGGUUGAGAGCCACCGCACUAGAGUGACUGGUGACUCAGCAGGCAAAGUGCUUUCCAUGCAAGCCCAGCAACCUGAGCUUCAUCUGUGGACCCACAUGAAGAAACUGGAUGUGGUGGUGUGAAUCUGUCAUAUCAGCACUCCUACUUUGAGAUGGGGGUGGUGGCGAAAACAGGAAAAUUGCCCAGAAGGGUGUAGGCCAACUAGCUUGGAGUACACAGCAGAACAAAACAGAGAGAGACCCUGCUUCAAUAAUAAGAUGGAAGGCAAGAACUGACUCCUGAGAGGUGUCCUUUGACUACCCCAUACCUCCCUCACAUUAUUAUUAUUACAAACUUGGGCUCAUCCUGGUGACACACCUCUAGGCAAGUCUGUGAGGGAGUCUCUAACCUGGGCUAGCUGAGGUCAGAAGGCCCAGCCUGAAUAUAGGUGGUACCAUUCCACGGACUAGGAAGAGACCUGAGCACCAGUGCCCAUCUCUCCCUGCUUCCUGACUGUAGAUGCAAUGUCACCAGCUGCCUCAUGUUGCCACCUCCAUGCCUUCUGUACCCUCAAACUGUGAACCAGAAUGCACUCUUCCUUUCUUAGGUUAUCAAGUAUUUGUCACAGCUAUAAGGAAACCAGCUGGCUCUUAGAGCAGGAGGCAGGGUACUGGCUGCAAGAUGAAGCCCUGGGGCUGAUCACACGGAAUCCGUCAUGACAUAACUACCCCUGGGCUGUGUGGUAGCUGGGAUGGAGCAGGCUUCUGAGAAGCAAGCUGACACCUUCAAAUGGUUGUGCAUUUGAACCUGUACAGUCUUGGAGAUUUUUAGCCUCCUUUCCAAUUCUGGAGACUCCUAGUCAGAGAUACGUGAUGGGCUCAUAAGCACCCAGGACUACAAGUUUGACUGCAGGCCCACUUCUCACUGUCCCUAGCACCUGUUCAUAUUUGUUUUAGGACGUCACAGGAGUCAGCCCACCUCUCUGGGCCUCGGUCUCUGUGGAUUUGGGAAAGGCCCUCCUGCCCUUGUUAAGGUACUGGAAGAGUCCAGUGAGACCAUAGGUGCGGGUGUACUCUGAAGUUCUGCCCAUGACUGACACUUAGCUAUUGUGGGAUUUCUGGAAGUUUGGAUGCUUUAACCUCUAAGUAAUCACUUCCUCUGGCUCACCCGGGUGCCUCAAAUUCCAUUAGAGCUGCUUGCCUGGGACCACUCUUCAUCCCCAGGAGGUCCCCAGGAAGAGCAGCCUGCUUAGGGCAGGACUGACCGUUAUCCUCAGACACUUGGAUUCACCAGCACAUCCAACUCAUGACCCACAGGCCAUAUGUCCCAGGAUAGGCACCAUUGUGGCCCAUUUGUAGAUGUCAGGUCAUGUCAUGGUAUGGCGAGCCCUCCUAAAGCUUCCCCAUUGUCAUGGAUGGGUCAAGUUCAUUUGGUGGUUUCCAGCAAGGUGGGUGUUCAGGAUAACAGAACACCCCUUGCUUGGAGAAGUCCUUUCUGCUAUGCUCAUCCUCAUCUUACAGGUAGAUAGAUACACCAUAUCCUUCAGGAACUCAACUACGGUGUACAAUUUCCUUGGUUGUGAUUACUUGUGCCCAACAGGCCUGGUGAGCAAAGGGAUAGCCUCUGGGAAGCCAAGCUCUGUGGAAUCUGGGGAUAGGAGGCAUUUGGGGAAGAUGUCCAGAGGGAGUGUGGCCAGUACAGAGCUCAGAAGGCUCAGCAGGUCAGUCUAGAGCAGAGCAGAGUCUGAAGAAAGACAGGAGUGGUAUUGUCAACACACAAACAGUUCUUUCCCCCAAAGGGACAGCAGUUUAUUCUAAAGCCGAAUAUGAGUGACCAUGGCUCAGGAGCAAAGAUUCAGGUUUCUCCAAAUAUGUGUUCCAUUGUGGAAGUGGCUACAUAAGCUAUUAGUUACAAAUUGAAGAAAAUAAUGAUUCAUAGUAUUUAGCAAGUACAUUGGUGGCAGCCACAGGUAGGUGGGCUAACGCACAUUGGGAAGUCCUGCUCCAGGUUUCAGAUACUAUUUGAUGACACUUUGAGCUCUUGAAUCAGAAAGCGCUAGUGGUCUGCUAAGAAUCCAUUGUAAGGUCUUGAUAGUCAUGAAGAUAUUAGGUCAGACUCAGAGGUGAGCAAUGGACUGCUUUCAAAGGGACUAAAAAUAGCCCAAGAUAAUUGGGCUCUGGUCUGCAACAUUUUAACUCUCCACAAUCUCAAAUUUUAGUCAUUUGGCUCUUAGGAUCUCAAAAUGGGUGCACUCUCCUCCCCUUUCCUUCUGGGAACUUCAGUUCACUGCAGGAUGGUUGGUUUAUUACUCUAGGAUUUUACUUUAUAGGAAUGACUGAGUGUUUGGAUGCAAUUGUCUCUGGUGCUAGGGGUGAGGUCAUCUCUAACAGUGAGGCCUUGGGUUGGGGUGCUGUUGCUGGAGACGAUGUCAUCUCAGGGUGAGCUCUGGGUCAAGGCAGUGCUAUCUGGGAAGUGUGCUGGUGGUGCCCUUGUCUGUGGAUGCUUUCUCGGAUCAAUGUGGCUUUCCUGUGAUUGGCUAAGCGCCCAUUACAUGGAGGAUUUGGACUUGGGGAUUGUGCCUCCCAGACCCUUUGUCGUAAGACUGCAGUCACCAGAGGGGUAUACAGCCACAUCUGACAGCGUCUGAACAGGCUUCCUUUCAGGUGAGCAUCUGCCGGACCCAUGGGACAAUCAUGGCAAUGGGUCCUAGGAAUGUGUGUCCUCUCUCUGGCCUCCAGCUCUUUUUAGAUGGAGACAAAAUGGGAAGCUCAUAAGGGUUAAGCUUUUGGGGCAAGAGAGACACUAAUUUUAGAGGUUAAUUUCCUGGUGGUGUAUUAGUUACUUCUCUCAUCUCUGUGAACACACACCUGACAGAAGAAGUUGAAGCAUAAGGGAGGAAGGCUUUACCUCAGCUCACAGUUUAAGAGGGGACAAUCCAUCAUGGCACAGUGGAGUUCACUGCAGCUGGAGUGUGUAGAUGGGCUUUUGUUACAUCUCAGAGGAGGAGGGGGAGGCAGAGAGUUCUGGCUAGAAGCAGAGACAGCCUACAGCCUGCAAUCCCUCCUGAUAGUCUGAAGGCUGCCAGCUAGGCCUCAUGUCCACUCUUCCCAAACAGUGUCACCAGUGAGGGAUCAAGUGUUCAAACAUGUGAGAUCAUGGGGACAUUUCAUCUCCAAACUAUAUCAGAUGGAAAUAUUUUUAAAAUUGGG
rnacentral:lncRNA from 1 species